rnacentral:rRNA from 1 species
GACGAACGCUAGCGGCGUGCUUAACACAUGCAAGUCGCACGGAGUGGCGAACGGGUGGGUAACACGUGGGUGACCUGCCCUGCACUUCGGGAUAAGCCUGGGAAACUGGGUCUAAUACCGGAUAGUGUGGGAUGGGCCCGCGGCCUAUCAGCUUGUUGGUGGGGUAAUUGCCUACCAAGGCGGCGACGGGUAGCCGGUCUGAGAGGGUGGACGGCCAAAUUGGUACUGAGACACGGCCCAGACUACUACGGGAGGCAGCAGUGGGGAAUAUUGCACCAUGGGCGGAAGUCUGUUUCAGCGAAGCCGCGUGGGGCAGGACGGUCUUCGGGGUGUAACCUCCGUUGCCCCACGACGCGGUAUUUGGAGAAGAAGCACCGCCUAACUCCGUACCAGCAGCCGCGGUAAUAC